GCUCGGUUGGUAAAGCACAAGGCUCUUAACCUUGUGGACGUGGAUUCAAGUCCCAU
rfam:Triticum aestivum genome assembly, contig: Triticum_aestivum_CS42_TGACv1_scaffold_404941_5BL